rnacentral:tRNA from 1 species
GUUUUAAUAAUUUAAUAAAAAUAUUGGUCUUGUAAACCAAAAAUAAGGACUCCUUUUAAAACC